UAAAAUGAAUUAAGGUUUAUGCGGGAUUGCUUGGCAUUUAAAGUUGAUGAAGGGCGUAGUUACUAACGAUAUGCUUUGGGUAGCUAGAAACAAGCGAUGAUCCAAAGAUUCCCGAAUGGGGCAACCUAACGAUUUAACGUUUGGGUAGAAGUGGAUAGUGAAUUAAUGUGAACAACUCGGUGAACUGAAACAUCUUAGUAACCGAAGGAAAAGAAAGCAAUAGCGAUUUUCUUAAUAGCGGCGAGCUAAAAGAAAUGAGCCUAAACCUAAACCUGUGGGGAUGGGUGUAGUGGGUUCCUGUUUAGAUGAUAAGUCGAAUUAACAAAUUUGUUAAUAACAAAAUCAGAGAAGGUUGUAAAUCCUGUUGUUAUUUAUGACUUUAUUGUUGAGGAUAUACCCGAGUAGCAUAGAGCACGUGUAAUUCUGUGUGAAUCAGCGAGGACCACCUCGUAAGGCUAAAUACUCUUAAGUGACCGAUAGUGAACUAGUACCGUGAGGGAAAGCUGAAAAGAAUGCUGAGAAGCAAGUGAAAUAGAAUAUGAAAGCAUAAACUUACAAGCAGUAGGAGGUCGUCUAAAGAAGGACUGACUGCGUGCCUGUUGAAGAAUGAGCCGGCGACUUAUAAGUAGUGGCUUGGUUAAGGUUUUUCCGGAGCCGUAGUGAAAUCGAGUUUAAAAAAGCGUUUUUGUCACUACUUAUAGACCCGAACCCGGGUGAUCUAAUCACGAUCAGGUUGAAGCUUUAGUAAAAUAAAGUGGAGGACCGAACCCACCAAUGUUGAAAAAUUGGGGGAUGAAUUAUGAUUAGGGGAGAAAUUCCAAUCGAACUCGGAGCUAGCUGGAUCUCUUCGAAAUGCGUUGAGGCGCAGCGUUUAAUUAUGGUAGACUUAGGGGUAAAGCACUGUUUCGGUGAGGGCUGUGAGAAUGGUACCGAGCUGUGGCAAACUAUGAAUACUAAGUUUUAUUUCAAUUGGACAGUGAGACAGUGGGGGAUAAGCUUCAUUGUCAAGAGGGAAACAGCCCAGACCACCAUUUAAGGCCCCUAAAUAUUUACUAAGUGAUAAAGGAUGUAAUAUUACAUAGACAACCAGGAGGUUGGCUUAGAAGCAGCCAUCCCUUUAAAAAGUGCGUAAUAGCUUACUGGUCAAGUGAUUUUGCGCCUAAAAUGAAUGGGACUAAGUAAUUUGCCGAAAAUGUGGGAGAAAUCGGUAGAAGAGCGUUCUGCAUCGAUUAGAAGCGGUAGUGUAAACAGCCAGUGGAUCGUCCAGAAGUGAGAAUGUCGGCUUAAGUAACGAAAACAUUGGUGAAAAUCCCAUGCUCCGAAAACCUAAGGGUUCCUUAGCUAGGUUCGUCCACUAAGGGUUAGUCAGGUCCUAAAAUGAGGUUAAACAACGUAAUUUGAUGGGAGACAGGUUAAUAUUCCUGUACCGAUACUCACCAGACAGUGAGUGACGAAAAAGGCUAAGUCUGCCAUAGAUUGGUAAUCUAAGUUGUGGUUAAAUCGUUCGAGACGUUGAGAGAUGUUAUGAGAGAAUGUCUUGAGUUAAGGCGAGAAUAGAAUAGAUGCUACGGCAUUGAAAGUGGCUGAUGUCAUAUUUCCGAGAAAAGCUUUUGUUAGUGAAUUGUGAGAUCGUCUGUACCGUAAACUGACACAGGUGGGUUGGUAGAGUAUACUAAGGAGCGCGAGAUAACUCUUUCUAAGGAACUCGGCAAAAUAACUUCGUAACUUCGGAAGAAGAAGUGCCUCGUAUAGAGGCCGCAGUAAACAGGUCCAAGCGACUGCUUACCAAAAGCACAGGUCUCCGCUAAGUUGAAAAACGAUGUAUGGGGGCUGACGCCUGCCCAGUGCCGGAAGGUUAAAGAAAUUGGUUAACGUGAGUGAAGCUAGUGACUGAAGCCCCGGUGAACGGCGGCAAUAACUAUAAUUGUCCUAAGGUAGCGAAAUUCCUUGUCGGGUAAGUUCCGACCCGCACGAAAGGCGUAACGAUUUGGACGCUGUCUCAGAAAGAGACUCGGUGAAAUAGAAUUGACUGUGAAGAUGCGGUCUACUUGCACUUGGACAGAAAGACCCUAUGAAGCUUUACUGUAACCUGAAAUUGGUUUUGGGUUUUUCUUGCGCAGCAUAGGUGGGAGGCAUUGAUCUUAUCUUUAGGGAAAAAGUGAGCCAAAAUAUGAGAUACCACUCUGGAAAAACUAGAAACCUAAUACUUUGCUCUUAGGCCCGACCAAGAUGAUUGACAGUUUCAGGUGGGCAGUUUUACUGGGGCGGUAGCCUCCUAAAAAGUAACGGAGGCGUACAAAGGUUUUCUCAGUCUAGACGGAAAUUAGUUGUAGAGUAUAAAGACAUAAGAAAGCUUGACUGUGAGACCUAUAAGUCGAGCAGAGACUAAAGUCGGUCUUAGUGACCCGACGGUGCUGAGUGGAAAGGCCGUCGUAAACAGAUAAAAGUUACUCUAGGGAUAACAGGCUGAUCUCCCCCAAGAGUUCACAUCGACGGGGAGGUUUGGCACCUCGAUGUCGGCUCAUCGCAGCCUGGAGCGGUAGUACGUUCCAAGGGUUGGGCUGUUCGCCCAUUAAAGCGGUACGUGAGCUGGGUUCAGAACGUCGAGAGACAGUUCGGUCCAUAUCCGGUGUGAGCGUUAGAGUAUUGAAAGGAGCUUUCCUUAGUACGAGAGGACCGGGAAAGACACACCACUGAUGUACCAGUUUUUGUGCCAACAGAAUACGCUGGGUAGUCACGUGUGGAGAGGAUAACUGCUGAAAGCAUAUAAGUAGGAAGCCCACCUUAAGAUAAGUACUCUUUACUAGAUCACGAUUAGACUAAUCGUUUAUAGGUAUUAGGUGCAAGAUUGGAAACAAUUUUAGCCGAGAUAUACUAACAGAUCGAAAAUUUCUUCCUAUAUCAUAAAAU
rnacentral:rRNA from 1 species